CACGUAGGGCGCAAGCGUUGUCCGGAAUUAUUGGGCGUAAAGAGCUCGUAGGCGGUCUGUUGCGUCCGCUGUGAAAACUCGGGGCUUAACCCCGAGCCUGCAGUGGAUACGGGCAGACUAGAGGUAGGUAGGGGAGAAUGGAAUUCCCGGUGUAGCGGUGAAAUGCGCAGAUAUCGGGAGGAACACCGGUGGCGAAGGCGGCUCACUGGCCCGGUACUGACGCUGAGGUGCGAAAGCGUGGGGAGCAAACAGG
rnacentral:rRNA from 1 species